GAUCAAACUCUUAAAGUUUGGGAGCUCAGCAGAGAAUAUAAACCUGCGGAGCUGGAAGAUUUUAGCGUGGAAAUUCCCGUUUAUGAUAAAGAAAAAACUGAAACUUUUUCGGGAAACAGUUUUAUAGAACCUUCAUAUUUUUUAUGGAGCGACAGUCUUUCGAAGGGGAUAUCGAUGACGGACAAGCCAAUGGUGAAUCUCGAUAUACGCAAGUUUUUUAAGGAGCCGUCCAAACGAUUUUGCUCUGCUGAACAAACUUUUGAUGGAAAUGCAAUAACCGAACCCUCCAGAAACUGUGCGCCUUCGCUAAAUCAUAACUCAUAUAAAAAAAAUUCUAUCAAGUUUUACUUUCCAG